rnacentral:snRNA from 1 species
AGCUUUGCGCAGUGGCGAUAUCGUAACCAAUGAGGUUUAUCCGAGGUGCGAUUAUUGCUAGUUGAAAACAUAACAACCUUCACCACUACCUAUACGACCCGUUUGUCGGUUCGGUACUCGCACGUACACAUACCUUAGUUCUAAAUUUAUCUUAGCUAACUUAGGUGUAGGUGUAAUAUAAUGAUUAAUGAAUAUAUG